GCUGUCUUAUGGUAGGUCAUUA
rnacentral:rRNA from 1 species